UACAGAGGGUGCGAGCGUUGUCCGGAAUCACUGGGCGUAAAGGGCGCGUAGGCGGUGUGUCAAGUCAGGCGUGAAAGCCCCGGGCUCAACCUGGGAACAGCGCUUGAGACUGGCACGCUCGAGUUCGGGAGAGGAUGGUGGAAUUCCCAGUGUAGAGGUGAAAUUCGUAGAUAUUGGGAAGAACACCGAUGGCGAAGGCAGCCAUCUGGACCGACACUGACGCUGAGGCGCGAAAGCGUGGGGAGCAAACAGG
rnacentral:rRNA from 1 species